rnacentral:rRNA from 1 species
AUACGUAGGGGGCAAGCGUUAUCCGGAAUUAUUGGGCGUAAAGAGUACGUAGGCGGUUCUGUAAGCGUGAGGUGAAAGCCCGGGGCUUAACUCCGGUAAGCCUUUCGAACUGCAGGACUUGAGUGCUUGAGGGGAAAGUGGAAUUCCUAGUGUAGCGGUGAAAUGCGUAGAUAUUAGGAGGUACACCAGUGGCGAAGGCGACUUUCUGGACAGUAACUGACGCUGAGGUACGAAAGCGUGGGGAGCAAACAGGAUUAGAUACCCUGGUAGUCCACGCUGUAAACGAUGAGCACUAGGUGUCGGGCUAGCAAUAGUUCGGUGCCGCAGUUAACGCAAUAAGUGCUCCGCCUGGGGAGUACGCACGCAAGUGUGAAACUCAAAGGAAUUGACGGGG